rnacentral:rRNA from 1 species
AGCAGUAGCCACGGUAAUACGAAGGGUGCAAGCGUUACUCGGAAUUACUGGGCGUAAAGCGUGUGUAGGUGGUUGUUUAAGUCUGUCGUGAAAGCCCUGGGCUCAACCUGGGAAUUGCGAUGGAUACUGGGCGACUAGAGUGCGGUAGAGGAUAGUGGAAUUUCCGGUGUAGCAGUGAAAUGCGUAGAGAUCGGGAGGAACAUCAGUGGCGAAGGCGGCCAUCUGGGACAACACUGACGCUGAGGCACGAAAGCGUGGGGAGCAAACAGGAUUAGAUACCCCCGUAGUCCCUGUCUCUUAUAC